AAGGGACACACAACAGGAAGAUAUCACAGGUUCAUCCUCUCUGUCUAGGGUUGGAACUUCAUCUACAUUCAGCAACUCAGAUCACAAGGGAUCACCCAUGAAUCCUCUUUCCAAAACCUAUAGUGAGAAGGAAGAUGCAGAGAAGACACAUCAUGAGUCGGAUGAUGCUGGGUUUUUGUUCAGAGAUACUAUUACUGCACAGACUCCUGUUGAUCAAUUCACGAAUUCAAGGUUUGCAAGUCCAAGUUUCUCUGGGGAUCAGGGGGUCCCUUGUGUUGGAA
rnacentral:misc_RNA from 1 species